rnacentral:rRNA from 1 species
AUACGUAGGGAGCGAGCGUUGUCCGGAAUUACUGGGCGUAAAGAGCUCGUAGGUGGUUUGUCGCGUCGUCUGUGAAAUUCCGGGGCUUAACUCCGGGCGUGCAGGCGAUACGGGCAUAACUUGAGUACUGUAGGGGAGACUGGAAUUCCUGGUGUAGCGGUGAAAUGCGCAGAUAUCAGGAGGAACACCGGUGGCGAAGGCGGGUCUCUGGGAAGUAACUGGCGCUGAGGAGCGAAAGCAUGGGUAGCGAACAGGAUUAGAGACCCUGGUAGUCCAUGCCGUAAACGGUGGGCGCUAGGUGUAGGGGUCUUCCACGACUUCUGUGCCGUAGCUAACGCAUUAAGCGCCCCGCCUGGGGAGUACGGCCGCAAGGCUAAAACUCAAAGGAAUUGACGGGG